rnacentral:misc_RNA from 1 species
AAAAGGUCAUAUUUUUGGUCAAUAAUUCUUCUUUAAUUUCAAUAGCAUACCAAUUUACAAUUUCUCAUUCUUUAUUGAGUAAAUAAUAGUAUAGUCAAUGACUUAAUGGCCAAAGAUGGAAGUUUCCCUAAAAGAAAAUAAUAGCAUAGUGAAUGCUUCUUAUCAUAAUUUCUCAGCAAACCAUAAGCAUCAUCAGUUUUAUUCCUACCAAUAUUUAGUUUAAUCUUUUAUU